rnacentral:lncRNA from 1 species
CCUAUCUCCUGGCUAUGUAAAUAACUUGAUCUAUUAAAUUUUCAUUAAUUUUUUUAGGAAGAAAGAAGAUAGAUUUCAUGUUAUUGAAUUUGCACGGGAUAUGAAAAAUAUGAAAUUUAGUUGCUGAUUUGGAUGAUGGAACCAAACUCAAAGGAAUUUGAUCAGCUGGUGUCACAUACUUACUAUCUCUCAAGACAAACUGUAAUUGGAACAAUUCUUCACGGGUUUUAUUUGUUACUUGGAAUGUUUCAAAUCCUUUUAACAACAUGGCAGGCAUCUUAAGACGAAAAUGUCGUACUUUGCUAUGGGUUUCCAGCUUUUGGAGGAAGAGGUGGGGAUGACUUACAUAAUCCUUCUGGUUCAUAUUUUGUUCAAAUUUAUCAUGUAUCUAAUUUUGGUCACUGAAGAUUCAUCAAACACCUAUUCUAUUUCAAGCUGAGGUUGUUUUUACUUUAUUUAAAUACUUUGUGCCUCACUAUCCCUUAAUAUGUUAAAAAUUAAAAUAAUUUUACUACUAAUAACAAUAAAUUAUUUAGUUCAUGCUACA